rnacentral:rRNA from 3 species
UACGGUCGCAAGAUUAAAACUCAAAGGAAUUGACGGGGACCCGCACAAGCGGUGGAUGAUGUGGAUUAAUUCGAUGCAACGCGAAAAACCUUACCUACCCUUGACAUGGAUGGAAUCCCGGAGAGAUCUGGGAGUGCUCGAAAGAGAACCAUUACACAGGUGCUGCAUGGCUGUCGUCAGCUCGUGUCGUGAGAUGUUGGGUUAAGUCCCGCAACGAGCGCAACCCUUGUCAUUAGUUGCUACGAAAGGGCACUC